rnacentral:tRNA from 1 species
GGCGGUGUAGCUCAGUUGGUUAGAGCAUGCGGCUCAUAUCCGUAGGGUCGGGGGUUCAAAUCCCUCCACCGCCA